GUAAGACCUCAGUGAACGUCAGCUAUGAUGACGGUUUAGGCCAGGGAGUUCGAGUGACUUGCUUAAGGUCAUGUGGAGAGUUAGGAGCAAAGCUGGAAACAGGCGCCAUGGCUCAUGGGGUCCCAGGCCAGUGCUUUCUCUCCAGGAUUCACUUUGGUGUCCAAGAGAAAACGGACUCUGACGGUACGAUAAACUUUUUGAGGGAAGCACAGUUCAGUUCAGUUGCUCAGUCGUGUCCAGCUCUUUUCGACCCCAUGGACUGUAGCAGCCAGGCUUCCUGGUUCAUCAUCAGCUCCUACAGCUUACUCAAACUCAUGUCCAUCGAGUCGGUGAUGCCAUCCAACCAUCAAGUCAGUGAUGUCAUCCAGCCAAGAGGGAAGCACAGUAUUAUCCCGUUGUAAGAUAAGGUUCCAGCAUGGAAGAGGAGGAGCGGGACAUGGACUAGGGGAAGCCACCAGGGUUUGCUGGGCUGGACCCAGUUUAACACACGUGAAAGGGGGUGGUCCUUCUCUUGAGCUAGUCAGCCAGGGUCCCCCUACCCCCACAGAGCCAUUCUCAGACCUGGCACAGCACCCUAUCCAAACUGGACACCACCACCUGCUUGUUGAACUGAUCAGAGACUCACCUCUCACCUACAUCACAUCCUAGAAUGAAGCACAGGCUUCGCAUGUCACACUCAAGUGGGCACACCCUCAUGGACAAAUGCAGUCUUUCCCCUACUCAGUCAGACUUUGUCCUUUCAAUUCUUUCUAUUUUUAAACAUUAGCUUUUUGUGAUUAUUUCUGUGUUUGCUGGAUUUAUUGACAUUAAAAUAAAUAUUUCUUUUUUUAAAGAAUUUAGUUAUUUUUAUGUUUAUUUUCUUUAUUUAUUUUUG
ensembl:lncRNA